rnacentral:rRNA from 1 species
GACGAACGCUGGCGGCGUGCCUAAUACAUGCAAGUUGAGCGCUGAAGGUUGGUACUUGUACCGACUGGAUGAGCAGCGAACGGGUGAGUAACGCGUGGGGAAUCUGCCUUUGAGCGGGGACAACAUUUGGAAGCGAAUGCUAAUACCGCAUAAAAACUUUAAACACAAGUUUUAAGUUUGAAAGAUGCAAUUGCAUCACUCAAAGAUGAUCCCGCGUUGUAUUAGCUAGUUGGUGAGGUAAAGGCUCACCAAGGCGAUGAUACAUAGCCGACCUGAGAGGGUGAUCGGCCACAUUGGGACUGAGACACGGCCCAAACUCCUACGGGAGGCAGCAGGAGGGAAUCUUCGGCAAUGGACGAAAGUCUGACCGAGCAACGCCGCGUGAGUGAAGAAGGUUUUCGGAUCGUAAAACUCGGUUGGUAGAGGAGAACGUUGGUGAGAGUGGAAAGCUCAUCAAGUGACGGUAACUACCCAGAAAGGGACGGCUAACUACGUG